AUGAGACUUAUUGCAACGUCUUAUGGAGACUCUGAUGGACCAAUUCAUGCAGCUUAUUCAGAACCUCGCAUAUGGACAGGAAGAGUUGAUCUUAACCAAAUGGAGGUUCCUUUGAAUCUAAAUGUAAGAAACAUCGUUCAAAUUCCUGUCAAUGAAGCUUCACACCAUGAGAAUAUUUCUGAACCGCCAUAUGAAACCUUCAAGUUUUCGAUUCAUGGGACAGUCUGA